rnacentral:rRNA from 1 species
CCUACGGGUGGCAGCAGUCGAGAAUCAUUCACAAUGGGGGAAACCCUGAUGGUGCGACGCCGCGUGGGGGAAUGAAGGUCUUCGGAUUGUAAACCCCUGUCAUGUGGGAGCAAAUUACAAUGAUAGUACCACAAGAGGAAGAGACGGCUAACUCUGUGCCAGCAGCCGUGGUAAUACAGAGGUCUCAAGCGUUGUUCGGAAUCACUGGGCGUAAGGGGUGCGUAGGCCGUUUCGUAAGUCGUGUGUGAAAGGCGCGGGCUCAACCCGCGGACGGCACAUGAUACUGCACGACUAGAGUGAGGGAGGGGGAAGCGGAAUUCUCGGUGUAGCAGUGAAAUGCGUAGAUAUCGAGAGGAACACUCGUGGCGAAGGCGGGUUCCUGGACUUUAACUGACGCUGAGGCACGAAGGCCAGGGGAGCGAAAGGGAUUAGAUACCCGAGUAGUC